rnacentral:rRNA from 1 species
GACGAACGCUGGCGGCGUGCUUAACACAUGCAAGUCGAACGGAAAGGCCCUGCUUUUGUGGGGUGCUCGAGUGGCGAACGGGUGAGUAACACGUGAGUAACCUGCCCUUGUCUUUGGGAUAACUUCAGGAAACUGGGGCUAAUACCGGAUAGGAGCUCCUGCUGCAUGGUGGGGGUUGGAAAGUUUCGGCGGUUGGGGAUGGACUCGCGGCUUAUCAGCUUGUUGGUGGGGUAGUGGCUUACCAAGGCUUUGACGGGUAGCCGGCCUGGGAGGGUGACCGGCAACAUUGGGACUGAGAGACGGCCCAGACUCCAACGGGAGGCAGCAGUGGGGAAUAUUGCACAAUGGGCGGAAGCAUGAUGAAGAAACGCCGCGUGCGGGAUGACGGCCUUCGGGUUGUAAAACGCAUUAGCCUGUGACGAAGCGUGAGUGACGGUAAUGGGUAAAGAAGCACCGGCUAACUACGUG